rnacentral:pre_miRNA from 1 species
CAAAUACUCCCUCCGUCCGGAAAUACUUGUCAUCAAAAUGGAUAAAAGGAAAUGUAUCUAGACAUAUUUUAGUUUUAGAUACAUCUCUUUUUAUCCAUUUUGAUGACAAGUAUUUUCGGACGAAGGGAGUAGAAA